AGAGUUUGAUCAUGGCUCAGGAUGAACGCUAGCUACAGGCUUAACACAUGCAAGUCGAGGGGAAACGACAUCGAAAGCUUGCUUUUGAUGGGCGUCGACCGGCGCACGGGUGAGUAACGCGUAUCCAACCUGCCCAUCACUUGGGGAUAACCUUGCGAAAGUAAGACUAAUACCCAAUGACGUCUCUAGAAGACAUCUGAAAGAGAUUAAAGAUUUAUCGGUGAUGGAUGGGGAUGCGUCUGAUUAGCUUGUUGGCGGGGUAACGGCCACCAAGGCGACGAUCAGUAGGGGUUCUGGAGAGGAACGGUCCCCCANAUUGGAACUGAGACACGGUCCAAACUCAGUACGGGAGCA
rnacentral:rRNA from 1 species